CGGCAGGGAAGAAGGAGGACGGUACCUGACUAAAAAGCCCCGGCUAACUACGUGCCAGCACCCGCGGUAAUACGUAGGGGGCAAGCGUUAUCCGGAUUUACUGGGUGUAAAGGGGGCGCAGACGGCAGCGCAAGCCAGGAGUGAAAGCCCGGGGCCCAACCCCGGGACUGCUCUUGGAACUGCGCGGCUGGAGUGCAGGAGGGGCAGGCGGAAUUCCUGGUGUAGCGGUGAAAUGCGUAGAUAUCAGGAGGAACACCAGUGGCGAAGGCGGCUUACUGGACUGUAACUGACGUUGAGGCUCGAAAGCGUGGGGAGCAAACAGG
rnacentral:rRNA from 1 species